GACGAACGCUGGCGGCGUGCUUAACACAUGCAAGUCGAACGGAAAGGCCCUGCUUUUGUGGGGUGCUCGAGUGGCGAACGGGUGAGUAACACGUGAGUAACCUGCCUCUGACUUUGGGAUAACUUCAGGAAACUGGGGCUAAUACCGGAUAGGAGCUCCUGCUGCAUGGUGGGGGUUGGAAAGUUUCGGCGGUUGGGGAUGGACUCGCGGCUUAUCAGCUUGUUGGUGGGGUAGUGGCUUACCAAGGCUUUGACGGGUAGCCGGCCUGAGAGGGUGACCGGCCACAUUGGGACUGAGAUACGGCCCAGACUCCUACGGGAGGCAGCAGUGGGGAAUAUUGCACAAUGGGCGGAAGCCUGAUGCAGCAACGCCGCGUGCGGGAUGACGGCCUUCGGGUUGUAAACCGCUUUCGCCUGUGACGAAGCGUGAGUGACGGUAAUGGGUAAAGAAGCACCGGCUAACUACGUG
rnacentral:rRNA from 1 species